rnacentral:tRNA from 1 species
GCCGGAGUGGCGAAAUGGCAGACGCAGCGGACUCAAAAUCCGCCGGGGAAACCCGUGGGAGUUCGAAUCUCCCCUUCGGCA